UGGGGAAUUUUGGACAAUGGGCGAAAGCCUGAUCCAGCAAUGCCGCGUGAGUGAAGAAGGCCUUCGGGUUGUAAAGCUCUUUUGUCAGGGAAGAAACGGUGAAAGCUAAUAUCUUUUGCUAAUGACGGUACCUGAAGAAUAAGCACCGGCUAACUACGUGCCAGCAGCCGCGGUAAUACGUAGGGUGCAAGCGUUAAUCGGAAUUACUGGGCGUAAAGCGUGCGCAGGCGGUUUUGUAAGUCUGAUGUGAAAUCCCCGGGCUCAACCUGGGAAUUGCAUUGGAGACUGCAAGGCUAGAAUCUGGCAGAGGGGGGUAGAAUUCCACGUGUAGCAGUGAAAUGCGUAGAUAUGUGGAGGAGCACCGAUGGCGAAAGGCAGCCCCCUGGGUCAAGAUUGACGCUCAUGCACGAAAAGCGUGGGGAGCAAACAGGAUUAGAUACCCUGGUAGUCCACGCCCUAAACGAUGUCUACUAGUUGUCGGGUCUUAAUUGACUUGUAACGCAGCUAACGCGUGAAGUAGACCGCCUGGGGAGUACGUCGCAAGAUUAAAACUCAAAUGAAUUGACGGGGUCAUAGCUGUUUCCU
rnacentral:rRNA from 1 species